GGGAUAUUGCACAAUGGGGGAAACCCUGAUGCAGCAACGCCGCGUGAAGGAUGAAGGUCUUCGGAUUGUAAACUUUUGUCCUAUGGGAAGAAGAAAGUGACGGUACCAUAGGAGGAAGCUCCGGCUAACUACGUGCCAGCAGCCGCGGUAAUACGUAGGGAGCAAGCGUUGUCCGGAUUUACUGGGUGUAAAGGGUGCGUAGGCGGAAGAGCAAGUCAGUAGUGAAAUCUGGGGGCUUAACCCCCAAACUGCUAUUGAAACUGUUCUUCUUGAGUGGAGUAGAGGUAGGCGGAAUUCCCGGUGUAGCGGUGAAAUGCGUAGAGAUCGGGAGGAACACCAGUGGCGAAGGCGGCCUACUGGGCUCUAACUGACGCUGAGGCACGAAAGUGUGGGUAGCAAACAGGA
rnacentral:misc_RNA from 1 species